GGGGGGGUUCGGGUUCACUCCCAACCCAAUGUGAACGUUACCAAACUGUUGCCUCGGCGGGAUCUCUGCCCCGGGUGCGUCGCAGCCCCGGACCAAGGCGCCCGCCGGAGGACCAACCAAAACUCUUUUUGUAUACCCCCUCGCGGGUUUUUUAUAAUCUGAGCCUUCUCGGCGCCUCUCGUAGGCGUUUCGAAAAUGAAUCAAAACUUUCAACAACGGAUCUCUUGGUUCUGGCAUCGAUGAAGAACGCAGCGAAAUGCGAUAAGUAAUGUGAAUUGCAGAAUUCAGUGAAUCAUCGAAUCUUUGAACGCACAUUGCGCCCGCCAGUAUUCUGGCGGGCAUGCCUGUCCGAGCGUCAUUUCAACCCUCGAACCCCUCCGGGGGGUCGGCGUUGGGGAUCGGCCCUGCCUCUUGGCGGUGGCCGUCUCCGAAAUACAGUGGCGGUCUCGCCGCAGCCUCUCCUGCGCAGUAGUUUGCACACUCGCAUCGGGAGCGCGGCGCGUCCACAGCCGUUAAACACCCAACUUCUGAAAUGUUGACCUCGGAUCAGGUAGGAAUACCCGCUGAACUUAAGCAUAUCAAAAGGCGGGAGGAA
rnacentral:rRNA from 1 species